rnacentral:rRNA from 1 species
UACGAGAGGCGCAAACGUUAUUCGGAAUUACUGGGCUUAAAGAGUUCGUAGGCGGCGCAGAAAGUAGGGUGUGAAAGCCCUCGGCUCAACCGAGGAAUUGCGCCCUAAACUACUGUGCUUGAGGAAGCUAGAGGUGAGCAGAACAGAUGGUGGAGCGGUGAAAUGCGUUGAUAUCAUCUGGAAUACCGGAGGCGAAGGCGGCUCACUGGGGCUUUUCUGACGCUGAGGAACGAAAGCCAGGGUAGCAAACGGG